GGCCCUUAGCUCAGUUGGUUAGAGCAAGUGACUCAUAAUCGCCGAGCCGCUGGUCCAAGUCCAGCAAGGGCCA
rnacentral:tRNA from 1 species